ensembl:lncRNA
UGCUGCUUGCUGCACAGGUUGGAGAGGGCGGGGCGGCGGGGGAUUCACUCGCUGGCUGGAGCAGCAUCUAAUAACCAACUCGCAAUAAAAGAAAAGAAAAAAAACAACAAACCAACAAACUAGGGCUGUCAGCCUUAAUGCUGUCACCACGAUUAAAACAUUUAAUGCAAUGAAUCUGUCUGGCGCCCAGAAUGACUCAAGAUCCCUGGAAUUUCUCUGUCAACGCAUUUUGCGCAUUUUGUUCAAAGUUGGUCCAUUAUGCGCUCCACAUGGGUUGAUCGUGUUAAAACUUUUAAUCGCGUUAACGUUGACAGCCCUACAGCAAACACACAAACUGAAGACAUUAUGAUAUAUAAUUAUAAUUUGCACUGAUGUGUUUUCUAAAUUUCAUCACACACAUAUGUGAAACAAACAGGCCAGGACCGCCCCUGACCCCACCCUCAGUUUCUUCUUCUUCCUUGAAAAGACACAGCGCGCACAUGUAAACAAAUGCACAUGUUUUCACGCUUGGACACUUUUGGCUUUAUUGAAAAACUUUAAUCGCCUCGUCAGGAUUAAACAGGGAUGUUCCCUUCUCGGAAAAAUCGCACCAUCCUUGGAUAUUUAGCAAAAGUUGUAUCAUCAGAACAAUGAGGAGGAAAUGGCUGCUGCGACACUGGAGCGUGUCUGCUGGACUUACUGUCUGUGUCUGCAGGUCAGGCUGCGAACACUUCACUUUCCAGCCUCCACUCACAGAUGGAGUCCCCCAUAAUCUUCCUGUUUGUGAUUUCUGGCUCUGUAGCCCUGCAGCAGAAUCUGCAGGUGAAGCUUGGAGAGGACAUCACUCUCCAGUGUCAGAUUACCACAGAUGAAAAAAUCUCAGUGCUGAAGUGGAGCAGACCUGACCUGAACACAGACGGCUACGUCUACUUCUACAGGAACAAACGCUCCUAUGAAAACUACCAACAUCCAUCUUUUCAUGGAAGAGUGAAGCUGAGGGACCCAGAGAUGACAGAUGGGGACGUUUCACUGAUCCUGAACAACAUCACGUUUAAUGACACUGGGAUGUAUGAGUGUCAUGUAGCAGUGAGGAACCCUGUGAGAAGUAAAAGACUUCACACUGAGAUCAGUCACUUCAUUGACCUCACAGUCACAGGUGAAACAGAUGAAAAGUUGUUGCAGCAGCGACUCGUGGAAAGUGAAGCUGGAAAAGUGCAGGAUGUGGGAGAUGUAGUAACUCCAACUGUUAUAAUGGUUGUUUGUUAUGUUGCGGUUGCUGUUAUUGUUGUUGGUUUUCUGACAUUAUUCAUAUUUAAAAGAUUUCAGUUAAAAGGACUAGAUGUUACAGUCCCUGAUAAUGCAUUGCUUUAAAUGGCGAGAAUCUUGAGGGAUGGCUGCUAUGAGGAAAGGCAGCCCAGAGACAUCGUUGUGUGCCUCAACUUUCGGUCUUUUAUCCAGGCUAAUCUGCCAUUUUUAGGAGGAUUAGAGAUCAGAUCUAGAUAUCAUAUUAAGAUUUGGGACACAUCGUCAGUAGUCGACCUUGGAUUCAUCGGGUGUUUCGGCCAUUAUCAUUAGACACCCUCAUCAAGGAGGCCCUGCCAGGGUUGAUCAGGCCCUGGAGUCACUGGUUUAUGUUAAAUUGUUAUUUCUCUUCUUCUUUCUUCUGUUUAGUUUCCUACAGUUUAUUUUCUAUCUAUUCACUGCAACUGAGAAAUAAUGCUUACCUCUUUAGCAUUUAUGAAGCCCUACUUCUUUAAAGGGAUAGAAAAGGUGAUAGAGAGAAAUAAGACAAAAGGGACGAGAUAGGAGAGAGCAGAGAGGAGAGCCGGAAGGGGGGCGCCUGAUCUGGCUUCCCACACCUCCCCGCUGGAUCAGGCUGUACGCUCUACCUCCCCACUGCCUCCCAGAAAAGCGAAGAAGAGCAGAGGGGAGAAGAGCGGAACAUUUCUUUUCUCUCGUGGUUAGCUGACUGCCGUAGCUGCCCAAGUGUUGUCAGCCCUUUUUAGCCAUAGCCAGUGACUGGUCCUCUCAACAGUGUUAGCUAGUUCUCUUAUAGCCUGCAGUUGCGCCUGUCCUCUGAUUCCAGUCUCUCUAAGCAGUUUUGCUGUUGUACUGAAAGCUCCUGCACCCCACUUCCACCGGGCGCACCUUGAUCUUCCAGCCUCUGUCCUCUGCCUCAGCUGCCAAGUUGGCAUACCGCAGCUUCUUACGCUGCUUCCUCCCCUGGUACCAUCAGCUCAAUGACGUACGCAAGUUUUUGGGAGUUAGACCAAAGGUGAGGUCUGGUUGCAGAGUAGUUGUUACGAUCUCUGUGGGGGAAAUUAGCCUCUGAUCCAAGUCCACUUUUAUCUGCCAAUCCCAGAUGCAGCUUUCAGUCUGGAGUAAGAGGAAGUCGAUUUAACAUGUCCGGAAAUAUGAUUUUAUAAAAAGAAACAUUACAGAUUUGAUGAACUAACAUUGAUGGCAGCUUUGCCAGGCAGCUAAGCAACAUGGACUUCUAGUUUAAAAGUGAAAAAUAAGAAAUAAAAAAACUGUUCUGUGGUUAUCAAAAACAUAACAGCUCCUCAAACUCCUCAAAUAAACAGCAAAUUCAGCCUGGAGCUUCUCACUGAAAAUAAACAUAAUAAAAUAAAUAGAAAAUUCUGGAAAAAAAAAUCACAAAAAAUGCUUCUGAUUGGUGCUAAAAAAAGGAUUCAGACUGUAAGAGUUACUGAAUUGUUUGUUGUUUGUUUACUGUCAUCAGUCUGUGUUUGAUGUUGAUCCAGGAUAAUGUGAACCAACGAUCCUUGUAUCGUCACCAGAGUUUGCACAAAGUCGUAUGGUGCUGUUUAAUAACAAAUGUGUGUUUAGCUCAGUGUCAGUGUCCUUUGCACGAGUGGUCAACUGCUGCUUUGAACUCUUUGAUCUAUUUUUUUUGUAAACGCUGUAUACUGGUUUGUUCUGGUUUCUGUCUGUUGUGUAGUAACUGUUCACCUGUACAUCUGCCCUAAUUACCAGUAUGAGGUUCAGAAAUGUCUUGGCCAUCAAAUUAUUAAUUAAUAAUUAAUUAAUAAAAAAUGGAUAAAAACUGAAAAAGGAAACUUGAAAUGUGUCACAACUUUCUUUCAGAUGUGUUUUGUGUCAGUGAUCAUGUCCUGGAAUGAAUGGGGAAGUUUGUAUGACUCAUUACUGUUGACAUUGAUGUGACAUUUUUUUUAUGCUUCAGUGGUUAAUGAGGGGAGUUUGUGAGCUGUAACAAAUGUAACGUUCUCUCUCUUUCUCGUUUUGCUCCCUGCACACAUCCAUCAGUGUGGGUGAAGUCUCUGCACUGUCUCUAAGAUGUUGUCACAGAUGAGUUGUCUCAACGUCCUCCUGAUUACAUUUCUAAUUCCUGCAUCUUCAUGUGAUUGACACUGAAUUGUUUAUUUAUUUACUAUAAGUCAGAGUAAUCUUGUAAAAUGUUUCUUUUUGUGUAUUCUUUUGCACACAUAAUCAGACAAAAAUAAGCAGUGUGCCUACACACCCGUAACUGUCUGCAGUUCUUUGCAACAAUGUGUUGCUGCAGUGAAAUGAACAAACAAAUCUGUCAGAUCUAUCUAUAGCUCAUCAAUCUAUUUUUGCACCAGAGGUUGUGUAGUCAGGCAUGCUAUUACUUGUUGAGCCCAUGAAAAAUGUACUAAAUCUUGUCUGCCAAACAGUUUGUUCUGCUCUUGUUUGGUGUCAUUUAAUUGGCCCAGCUAAAGGGAAAUAAACAGGCUUUCCAACAUUAAAAGAUUUACUGCCAAGAAGGAUUUUUACAACAAAGAAAUAAUCAACCAAACACAAAUUUCCUUCUGUGCUAACUUUAUGUGGUGUAAAUAUUACUAGGGUGACGUACUGUGACGCCACAGCUGGGAGGACACACAGCAUGCUGAGUGUCUAACAUGAAUCUUAUUUUGAUCUAUAAUAAUCCUCCUAUCUUUGUCUCUAAUUGUUGCAUCUACAGGUGAGUGAAACAUGUUUUUAUUUUCAUUAGCAUUAUUUAAAGUAAAGAGUUAUUCAUUAAACUCAAGUGUUUAAUGAUGAAACUGCAGAUGCUGUUGACACUGCUGCAGAUUGUGGGAAGGGGUUAGUUGCUUUUCCAAUAGCAUGUUCAGAGUUUUGUAAAUGCAGUGGUGGGGUUAUAUUUGAUCAGAAAUUAAAAAGCAGUGCAGAUAAUUUGUGUGGAAAUCUGUGAUUUUCAGGCUUAUGUUCAGCUCUCAUACAGACUGAUCACUGAAAAGUGUCUGCAUAACAGGUUAAUGACUCCUAAGUGAAAUGGUGAUCAUAU